rnacentral:rRNA from 1 species
UACAGAGGGUGCGAGCGUUGUCCGGAAUCACUGGGCGUAAAGGGCGCGUAGGUGGCGCGACAAGUCAGUGGUGAAAGCUCGAUGCUCAACAUCGAGUCGGCCACUGAUACUGUUGGGCUCGAGCACUGUAGAGGCAGAUGGAAUUCCGGGUGUAGCGGUGGAAUGCGUAGAGAUCCGGAAGAACACCGGUGGCGAAGGCGGUCUGCUGGGCAGUUGCUGACACUGAGGCGCGAAAGCUAGGGGAGCGAACCGG